UUAAUUUUGGGCUUCACCUUUUCUUGAUUUUCUAUCCCUCAUUUUAAUUCUUAUUCAUCUCUCUCUUCUACACUUCCUUCUCCUUCUCUUCGUCGAUCCCACUCUUGUCUUAGUCCGUGCAGACCCUGAAAAAGGACAUCCAUCAAGAGUAUCACGAGUUACGGGCACAAGAGCUGAUGAGGAGAUAUUGAACAAAUUUUCCAGAAGGCUAUUUAGGAACAAGGACAAGGCCAGCUAAAGAAAGGCGUAGAUGGAUUGUCUGGCAACUUUGCAAGGUUGGAUUCACAAAUUUCAAGUGUUGGUCAGACAACAACAAAGAUAGGUGAUCAUCUCCAGGUAGAGAGUUCUUCUAUUAGUCGACUAUGUUUGAUGGAUGGAUUUUGAUCUUACAUUUUUUUGUAUUAUUAUGUUUUAUAGGUUGGUCGGUUACUCCUUUGCCUUUGAAAUAUAAUCGUUUUUCUAAUUUUUAAUUCUGUUAUAUUUUUUCAAAGUGCAGAUGCUCAACGAAAAACUUCCAAUCAAAGAAUUGAGUUGAUAAAAGUAAUACCAGUUUGUUCCUUUUUUUUGAAAAAAUUUACCAUCAUUUGUGUUAGGAAAUUUACCUAUCAUUGUUAAUUUCUACAAUACUUAAUGGAAUUCAAUAGCAACCUAGGCGACCUGAUGGAGCUUUCACCUCUUUUUUCUGAUGAUAGUCGUGUUGUUGAUGCUGCUUCGAUUGCCCAAAAAUUAUGUAAAAAUUAAGAUUCCUUUUGAAUGUUAUACAACUCUUUAACCAAAUUAUGUCAAUGCUAUGCAAUUAUGUUUAUUUUUAGGGUCAUUUGCUGAAGAAGAUAUAAGAAGACAUGAAACACCUGUCCCAUUAGCUAUAGGUGUAGAAGCAAGAUUCAUUGCUUCAUGAUGAUGAAUCAAGAUUGAUUCAAGGUGUUUUGAUGAUAACAAAGAUGAUGACAAAAAGCCCAUGAGAAUGAUUUCAAGAU